rnacentral:rRNA from 1 species
GGUUAAGCGACUAAGCGUACACGGUGGAUGCCCUGGCAGUCAGAGGCGAUGAAGGACGUGCUAAUCUGCGAAAAGCGUCGGUAAGGUGAUAUGAACCGUUACAGCCGGCGAUGUCCGAAUGGGGAAACCCAGUGUGAUUCGUCACACUAUCGUUAACUGAAUACAUAGGUUAACGAGGCGAACCGGGGGAACUGAAACAUCUAAGUACCCCGAGGAAAAGAAAUCAACCGAGAUUCCCCCAGUAGCGGCGAGCGAACGGGGAGCAGCCCAGAGUCUGAAUCAGCUUGUGUGUUAGUGGAACGGUCUGGAAAGUCCGACGGUACAGGGUGAUAGUCCCGUACACCAAAAUGCACAGGCUGUGAACUCGAAGAGUAGGGCGGGACACGUGGUAUCCUGUCUGAAUAUGGGGGGACCAUCCUCCAAGGCUAAAUACUCCUGACUGACCGAUAGUGAACCAGUACCGUGAGGGAAAGGCGAAAAGAACCCCGGCGAGGGGAGUGAAAAAGAACCUGAAACCGUGUACGUACAAGCAGUGGGAGCACCUUCGGGUGUGACUGCGUACCUUUUGUAUAAUGGGUCAGCGACUUAUAUUCUGUAGCAAGGUUAACCGUAUAGGGGAGCCGCAGGGAAACCGAGUCUUAACUGGGCGUUAAGUUGCAGGGUAUAGACCCGAAACCCGGUGAUCUAGCCAUGGGCAGGUUGAAGGUUGGGUAACACUAACUGGAGGACCGAACCGACUAAUGUUGAAAAAUUAGCGGAUGACUUGUGGCUGGGGGUGAAAGGCCAAUCAAACCGGGAGAUAGCUGGUUCUCCCCGAAAGCUAUUUAGGUAGCGCCUCGUGAAUUCAUCUUCGGGGGUAGAGCACUGUUUCGGCUAGGGGGUCAUCCCGACUUACCAACCCGAUGCAAACUACGAAUACCGAAGAAUGUUAUCACGGGAGACACACGGCGGGUGCUAACGUCCGUCGUGAAGAGGGAAACAACCCAGACCGCCAGCUAAGGUCCCAAAGUCAUGGUUAAGUGGGAAACGAUGUGGGAAGGCACAGACAGCCAGGAUGUUGGCUUAGAAGCAGCCAUCAUUUAAAGAAAGCGUAAUAGCUCACUGGUCGAGUCGGCCUGCGCGGAAGAUGUAACGGGGCUAAACCAUGCACCGAAGCUGCGGCAGCGACACUAUGUGUUGUUGGGUAGGGGAGCGUUCUGUAAGCCUGCGAAGGUGACCUGUGAGGGUUGCUGGAGGUAUCAGAAGUGCGAAUGCUGACAUAAGUAACGAUAAAGCGGGUGAAAAGCCCGCUCGCCGGAAGACCAAGGGUUCCUGUCCAACGUUAAUCGGGGCAGGGUGAGUCGACCCCUAAGGCGAGGCCGAAAGGCGUAGUCGAUGGGAAACAGGUUAAUAUUCCUGUACUUGGUGUUACUGCGAAGGGGGGACGGAGAAGGCUAUGUUAGCCGGGCGACGGUUGUCCCGGUUUAAGCAUGUAGGCUGGUUGUCCAGGCAAAUCCGGAUAAUCAAGGCUGAGGUGUGAUGACGAGGCACUACGGUGCUGAAGUAACAAAUGCCCUGCUUCCAGGAAAAGCCUCUAAGCAUCAGGUAACAUUAAAUCGUACCCCAAACCGACACAGGUGGUCAGGUAGAGAAUACCAAGGCGCUUGAGAGAACUCGGGUGAAGGAACUAGGCAAAAUGGUGCCGUAACUUCGGGAGAAGGCACGCUGGUGUGUAGGUGAAGUCCCUGCGGAUGGAGCUGAGACCAGUCGAAGAUACCAGCUGGCUGCAACUGUUUAUUAAAAACACAGCACUGUGCAAACACGAAAGUGGACGUAUACGGUGUGACGCCUGCCCGGUGCCGGAAGGUUAAUUGAUGGGGUUAUCCGUAAGGAGAAGCUCUUGAUCGAAGCCCCGGUAAACGGCGGCCGUAACUAUAACGGUCCUAAGGUAGCGAAAUUCCUUGUCGGGUAAGUUCCGACCUGCACGAAUGGCGUAAUGAUGGCCAGGCUGUCUCCACCCGAGACUCAGUGAAAUUGAACUCGCUGUGAAGAUGCAGUGUACCCGCGGCAAGACGGAAAGACCCCGUGAACCUUUACUAUAGCUUGACACUGAACAUUGAGCCUUGAUGUGUAGGAUAGGUGGGAGGCUUUGAAGCGUGGACGCCAGUCUGCGUGGAGCCAACCUUGAAAUACCACCCUUUAAUGUUUGAUGUUCUAACGUUGGCCCCUUACCGGGGUUGCGGACAGUGUCUGGUGGGUAGUUUGACUGGGGCGGUCUCCUCCCAAAGCGUAACGGAGGAGCACGAAGGUUAGCUAAUCCUGGUCGGACAUCAGGAGGUUAGUGCAAUGGCAUAAGCUAGCUUGACUGCGAGCGUGACGGCGCGAGCAGGUGCGAAAGCAGGUCAUAGUGAUCCGGUGGUUCUGAAUGGAAGGGCCAUCGCUCAACGGAUAAAAGGUACUCCGGGGAUAACAGGCUGAUACCGCCCAAGAGUUCAUAUCGACGGCGGUGUUUGGCACCUCGAUGUCGGCUCAUCACAUCCUGGGGCUGAAGUAGGUCCCAAGGGUAUGGCUGUUCGCCAUUUAAAGUGGUACGCGAGCUGGGUUUAGAACGUCGUGAGACAGUUCGGUCCCUAUCUGCCGUGGGCGCUGGAGAAUUGAGGGGGGCUGCUCCUAGUACGAGAGGACCGGAGUGGACGCAUCACUGGUGUUCGGGUUGUCAUGCCAAUGGCACUGCCCGGUAGCUAAAUGCGGAAGAGAUAAGUGCUGAAAGCAUCUAAGCACGAAACUUGCCCCGAGAUGAGUUCUCCCUGAGACUUUAAGUCUCCUGAAGGAACGUUAAAGACGAUGACGUUGAUAGGCCGGGUGUGUAAGCGCAGCGAUGCGUUGAGCUAACCGGUACUAAUGAACCGUGAGGCUUAACCUU